GACGAACGCUGGCGGCGUGCCUAAUACAUGCAAGUAGAACGCACAGUUUAUACCGUAGCUUGCUACACCAUAGACUGUGAGUUGCGAACGGGUGAGUAACGCGUAGGUAACCUGCCUGGUAGCGGGGGAUAACUAUUGGAAACGAUAGCUAAUACCGCAUAAUAUUGAUUAUUGCAUGAUAAUUGAUUGAAAGAUGCUAUUGCAUCACUACCAGAUGGACCUGCGUUGUAUUAGCUAGUAGGUGAGGUAACGGCUCACCUAGGCGACGAUACAUAGCCGACCCGGAGAGGUGGUCGGCCACACCGGGAAUGGGACACGGCCCAAACUCCUACGGGAGGCAGCAGUAAGGAAUCUUCGGCAAAGGACGGAAGGCUGACCGAGCAACGCCGCGUGAGUGAAGAAGGGUUUCGGAUCGUAAAGCUCUGUUGUAAGAGAAGAACGGGGGUGAGAGUGGAAAGUUCACACUGUGGCGGUAUCUGACCAGAAAGGGACGGCUAACUACGUG
rnacentral:rRNA from 1 species